GCAGUCUGUGAUCCUGAUGUGCCUCAAUUCCAGGAUUGAGAGCCUCUGAUGUCAUUCCAGCUCCCUCAGUGGGCUAAACAAUCCAAAUAUUGGAUUUAAGGAGACAGAUGAGAAACUAAAGAAGUUAAACCAAAUCUACUAGUCGUGGGUGAGUUUGAAGGAGACCUACAGUUAUUUUUCACCACAUUAAUUUGCUUCCCAUUCUUCUUCUCCCUGCCCCCAAGUUUUCCAACCAAGAAUAGAACUUACUUUGUGCAAUUGCCAUGACUCCAGAGAGGGGUGUCAUGAUGAGGUUUUGAGAUUGCUGGGGAUUAUGGUGGGAGAGGCUGUGGAUAUUCGUCAAGGUGCUGACUGGGGGCAAACCUCCUCCUGAGACUGAGAUCUGAUGGAGAGAAAAAAACAAGAGAAACAUGGGUGGACUUGGACCACAAAGAGCAGUUUCCAACACGAUGUGACUUAGCGAUUCCUUGGCAUGACUAGUUCUCAAAUUCAUUCCUUCAUUCACUCAAUAACAAUUAUUGGCUGGGCAUGGUGCUUCACCCCUGUAAUCCCAGCACUUUGGGAAGCCAAGACAGGAGGACUGCCUGAGCUCAGGAGUUCAAGACCAGCCUGGGCAACAUGGUGAAAUCAUCUCUACAAAAAAAGAAAAAAACACAAUUAUUAAGUGUCUACUGUGGGACAGACACUAUUCUAGGUGCUGGGGAUAGAGCAGUAAGUAAAACAGACAGUGAUCCCUGCCCUCAUGGUGCAUCUAUUGUUGACUGUCUGAGUUACUAGCCAGCUUCAGAAAUUACUAAGGGUUGGGGGAGAUUAGCCAUUACAAGGUUUCUCUACUUUUUCCACAUCUCCAGUACACAUUACAAAAUUUUUUUUCUUUUUUGGUCAAGGAUCCUAUAUUGUAAUCACCAUUAUAUUUUAAUGACAGAUUAGUAUGAGAAAGCUACUGAUUUUGGUGUAUUUACUUUGUACAUGACCACUUCACUGAAUCCUACUAGUGUCUUUUCCUCAUUGAUUUUUUUCCAAGUAUGUAAUUGUAAUACAAGCAUCUGAUGGUAACAGGGUCUUUUCCUUGCUAGUACUGAUAUGUCUACAUGUCCUAUUAUAUUGCUUAGAACUUACAGUAUUAAACAAUAACAGCUGUAAUAGAUGUGCUUAUUUUGCUUCUGAUGUUAUCAGAAAUGUUUCCAAUGUUUUCCCAUUAACUCUAAUUGUAAUUAUAAGGGCGCGAUCAGUUUUAAACACACCUACACUUUUUCCAUGAUACAUUAGUUUACUACUUAUAGUUUCAAAAUAAUUUUUUUCUUUUUUUGAGGUGGAGUCCAGCUCUGUUGCCCAGGCUGGAGUGCAGUGGCAUGAUCUCUGCUCACUGCAACCUCCGCCUUGUGGGUUCAAGCAAUUCUCCUGCCUCAGCCUCCCGAGUGGAUGGAACCACAGGCACCUACCACCACGCCUGGCUGAUUUUUGUAUUUUUAGUAGAGACGGGAUUUCACUAUGUUGACCAGGCUGGUCUUGAACUCCUGACCUCAGGUUAUGUGCCCACCUCAGCCUCCCAAAGUGCUGGGAUUACAGGUGUGAGCCACUGUGCCCAGCCUCAAAAUAAUUUUUAAAGUUAUUAUGAAGAAAGGACUGGCCCCUCUUAUUCUGAACCCAGGCGUGCUUGAGAGCAUCAGGAACCCCGAGAGGUGCUUUAGGGUUAGGAUGCACCAGAUGUCUGAGUAACUCAACUUUCCUUCUUCCAUCUUUCACUUCCCAGAGCUUUUCAGACGAUAGCUCUCCCACCAGCACCCAGGUAAGAUGCUAUCUCCCACCCUGCCCUUCCGGUCAACUCCAUAGUGUCCAAGGUUAAUUUGAAAAAGAAAGAAAGCAAAAACCAAACAGGUUUGUUUGUGUUUUUAAAAUAAGCAUCAAGAAAUGUUAGGGGGUCACAUGACCAAGAAGGAAUUCUGACCACAUCAAACAAGAGAGAAGCAGCCUGUUUGCUGGACUUGUUUUUCAAAAUACCAGUCAUUAAAAAAAAAAAAAAAAAAAUCCGUAGCCUGCCCUCAGACUGAAUCUCUUGGGUAAUGUAGUUCCUUUGGAGAAAGUCAACCAAGUGACAGUAAUUUCUCUGACAUUUCAGCAUUUGGUUAAUGGUAUAAGAGAAGUGUGGAGGCCAAUGAUAAAAAUAAUUUAAAUGUGUGUGACUUUAGGAUUUGUAAAGUGCUUUCACUGAUUGUCCUUAAUAGAUAAUGACACAAGUAGGGCAGGCAUUAUUACUAUCAGUCCCUGUAUUACAGAUUAAGAAACUGAUCUUCAGAAGAGUUGAGACUAUUUCUAUGUCACUUGACUCAUAAGUGAAAAAGCCAGAGUUAAAAUCCAGUUUUGCUGGAGCUUAAAUCUUAUUCACUUACUAAGUUUGGGCAACCUUGAUCAAGUUACUUCCCAUUCUAAAAUGCAACUAUUAUUUUUAAUUUUUUUUUUUUUUUUGAGACAGGGUCUUACUCUAUCGCCAAGGCUGGAGUGCAGUGGCAUGAUCACAGCUCACUGCAGCUUCGAACUCCUGGAAUUAAGCGAUCUUGUCACCUCAACCUCUGGAGUAGCUGGGACAACAGGCAUGCACCACCGUGCCCAGCUAAUUUUUUUAUUUUUUGUAGGGACAGGGCCUUGCUGUGUUACCCAAGCUGGUCUUGAACUCCUGGGCUCAAGCAAUUAUCUUUCCUCACCUCCCAAAAUAGUGGAAUUACACGUGUGAGCCACUGUGCCCGGCUACAACCAUUACUUUCUAUUUGGCUCCUGGACUGAUGGAAGCUAGGGCACUGCCAAGGGUAUCAGUGGUGAUCCUUACAUGAUAAUUUGGAGAGCCUGAAUUACAUUAAUGCUGUCAUUUAUGGUCUCUUCACUAUGCUAGGUUCUUUAUAUACCUAUAAUCUAUAAGGUUGGUAUUAUUAUCCCUAUUUCAUAGAGAAGGAUACUGAAAUUUAGAGAAGUUAAGAAGUGUGCCCAAGUGGUAGAAUUGGGGUUGAAAGCAGGCUAUCUACCGCCACAGCCUGAGCUUUUCACCAUUAGGACAUACUGCUUGAUACUGUGAAAGUAUCCAGUAUGUGCUUUGCUUUGUUCUCUCUCUUUUUUUUUUUUUUAAAGGUUCGACAUGCACAGACUACAACCCUAAACCUGGCCAGUUUUUUGUCAAUGCGUGACAUUUGGGCAUGGGGGCGGGUAGGGGCAGACAGUACAACAGAGAGUUCAAAUGGAUUGGCUUUAUUUCCAAAACCAGUCCUUGGGGAAAGAUUUCAAGGCACGUCCUACUGAAAGUCAGCAUGCAGAGAUUGUCAUUCCUAGAACAGGGCUGACCCAAAGAACAACAGUGCUACAAGCAAUCUUCACACCAACCCUAUGACGUAGGCAUCAUUAUCCCCCAUUUUACAGAUGAAGAAACUGAGGUUAAGCAAUUUGUCCACACUACUGCUGGUGAAUGACCGAGCCAAGACUUGCACAUACUGGUUCCCUUCCCUGCAUUCCUUUUUAACCAUACUCCACUCUUGCCUUGGGGGACCAAGAUCCGUGAUGGACAUGUUAUUAUAUUAACAAGAAAACAGACUCUUGAAUUUGGACCUCUGAUGAUAGUGACACAGCACAUGCACUAGGGUGUUGGAGACAAGAGAAAAGCCAGGCCCUGCAAACAAGCUUCCAGGUGUUUGCUAACGUUGAGGUGUGCAGUCUUGGUCAAUCAUCAAUCCAGUAACACACUGCCCAGUUAAAGCACUGCUGAGCAGAACAGGAAGCAAAAAGCGUGUCCACAGGCUGCAUUUAGAGCGGCCCUGGCCUGGGUGAGGCAGCUUGCCUCUUAGAAGGAGGAGAGGCAGAGCUCAGUAGGAAACCCCAAGGACCUUCAAGCAGUAAGAGCUGAGACCUGGAAGGUUCUUCCACACUGAGAAGUCAAGACCUCUUCCGUAAGGCACCCUUCUCCAUGGAAGCCUGGGUAAUCCUUAACCCUAACUUGUUUGGGACACUCUUGAGAAGUCAGAAAGACUUGUCUGUGCCUCUCACAGGUAACUGACACAAGUGGUUCUUCACAUGGAGAAGAAUCUUUCUUAAGGGAUAGGUGGGAGUAGGAGAAGAGGGCUGCAAAAUGCCUCCCCCAGGAAUGCCCUUUCAUUUUUGUUUGCAGAGACCACGACCAGGGCAAGCAGCUCAGGUCCUCUGAAACCAGAAUUGGCCGGGUCAGUGCUCCCCUCAGAAACCACACUUGUUUUUCCUCCAGGGAGCCAGGGACUCGAUCACCUGUGACUCACCGUUUCUGUGUUGCCUACACAGCACACACGUCAAGAUCUAAAAUGGCCUCUGCACCCUGUUGCCCUCACCCAUCCUGGCCCCCACUCUGGGAAUGUGUGCAGCUCCACCUUCAGCAUGAAAGUCGGGAAUCUGCGGCUCCUCCCUCCCCUGAAAAACAGAGCAUGACCCAAAGAAUAGAGCUUUCCAUUCUCUACCCUUGCCAGUGUCGUAAUGCUCCUGUUCUCCCAUAAGCCACUCUCUCCUGCACUUGUGUUGCUACAGGAUCAGAACCUAAUCCUAAUUAGAACCUAGUUUUAUUUAUUUUAUUGUUAUUAUUAAUUAUUAUUUUUUGAGACACCCGAGUCUCACUCUGUUGCCCAGGCUGGAGUGCAGUGGUGUGAGCUCACUGCAACCUCUGCCUCCCAGGCUCAAGUGAGCUCCCCACCUCAGCCUCCCGAGUAGCUGGGAUUACAGGUGCAUGCCACCAUUCCUGGCUAAUUUUUGUAUUUUUUUUUUAAUAGAGAUGGUGUUUCGCCCUGUUGUCCAGGCUGGUCUCAAACUUUCUGGCCUCAAGUGAUCCACCUGCCUCAGUCUCCCCAAGUGCUGGAAUUACAGGUAUGAGCCACUGCACCUGGCCUAGAAUCUAGUUUGAUGUAGAAAAUUCAAAUUCAAAUUGUGCAUUCUUCACCAAGUGUGCUAAACUUGCAUCUGGGUGUGGGGCUGUGGUUACGGAUAUAGAAAACUUCAUUUAAUGAGAAUGAUAUUGACAUUUACACGACAACAACAACAAUACUGCAAUUUAUUGACUAUUUUCUAUGGCAAACACUGCAGAGUAUUUCUCAAAUGUUAUCACGCUCAUGCCCCCACCAAGUCUAUUGUUACCGCCCCCAUUUUAUAGAUGAGGAAGAGAUCAUAAGUAGUCGAGUAACCUGCUCAGGCUACACAGCUAUUAAGAGCUGGAGCUGGGAUUUGAACCUGGGCAAUUGUAACUUCAAAGUUGGUGUUUCUCCCUCCCUAAGCAUCGCCCCACCCCAUCUACCAUUUGUGCUGUGAUCUUCGCUGUCAUGGUGUCCCAUGUCUUUCACUGUUCCAGUUCAAGAAGCUUCUCCCCAUCGCCUCCUAUCCACUACAUCCUGACUUGCUAAUGACUCUUCUUGUCAGUACCAAGGGGAUGGUAAGGAGGAAGAGGGGGCUUGUGUCAAAGUGAGGUGCUCUCUAAGUUAAAAAAUUGGCUUUGGAGGCCUUGGGGGGAGGGAUGAAUGAACAUUUUAUCAACACAAAUGUCAUUGGCAAGCCCCAAAACAAACAGUGUCCCACCGGGCUUGCUCCUUUAUGAGGCAUUCAAUCAAUAAAAAGAGAGCAGAACUCUGUCAGAUUUAUUGGCUGGGUUCAAACCGAACACCUCUUCUACCCGCCAAAGGCUGGGUCACCAGCACUACCUCUCCUUUCCGACUCUGGACAGCCCUCAUUUUCCCCUAUGGGGCUACAAUGGUUCAUUGUUUGAGGCAGGCCUUGUGAGAAGUUGUGUUUGUUUUGCCUCUUAUCUUAUCAGCUCCAGAGCGACAAUGGCCCAGGUGUACUCACCAUUUUACCAUCAGGUGAGAGGAGAUUGUGGCCUGGGUCCAGGCUGGCUGGGGAGACUUGCUGUAAAACCGACUGGCUGGUCACCAUGGCGCUGUUGCCAUGGUGACUGAUUGUUGAGGAGGAAGUGAUCUCAUUGUUUCCCUGCUGGCUGUAGCGCACUCCUGCAAAACAACACAAACCCAGUAGGGAACAUUAGUGCCACCAGGGUCCUGGAACAAUGACUCGGCACCUCUUGUUUUCAAGGGUGGGUAAUAAGAAAAUAAAGUUGCUUUCUCCUCCCCUGUCCACCCACAAGAAAUAUCGGCUGCUUUUCUCCAGGGUAAAUAUGGCAUGUUCUCUAUUUAAUUCUAGAAUGUAAGCGCCACGAGGGCAGGAAAUUUUUAUCUCGUUUGUUUUGUUCACUGAUGUAUCCCCAGUGCCUUGGCACUGAAUAGCCACUCGGUAAACUUCUGAUGAAUAAAUGAAUGACUGGA